rnacentral:tRNA from 1 species
GGCUGUGGCUCAGUGGCAGAGCGCUUGCCUAGCAUGUGUGAGGCACUGGGUUUGAUCCUCAGCACCA